GACAGAGGGUGCAAACGUUGCUCGGAAUUACUGGGCGUAAAGCGCGUGUAGGCGGGCCGGAAAGUCGGGCGUGAAAGCCCUGGGCUCAACCCAGGAACUGCACUCGAAACUUCCGGUCUAGAGUGGUGGAGAGGGAAGUGGAAUUCCUGGUGUAGAGGUGAAAUUCGUAGAUAUCAGGAGGAACACCAGUGGCGAAGGCGGCUUCCUGGACACCAACUGACGCUGAGACGCGAAAGCGUGGGAGCAAACAGGAUUGAAGAA
rnacentral:rRNA from 1 species